AAAUACUAAAAAAAAAAAAAAAAAAAGAAAAGCUCCCUGGCUGGGCAUGAUGACUCACACCUGUAAUCCCAGCACUUUGGGAGGCCGAGGCAGGCAGAUCACUUGAGGCCAGGAGUUCAAGACCAGCCUGGCCAACAUGGCGAAACCUGGUCUCUACUGAAAAAAAAAAAAAAAAAAAAAAAAAGUAACCGGACGUGGUAGUGCACGCAUGUAGUCCCAAAUGCUGGGGAGGCUGAGGCAUGAGAAUCGCAUAACCCCAGCGGCAGAGGUUGCAGUGAGCUGAGAUCACACCACUGCACUCCAGCCUGGGCAACAGAGUAAGACUCUGCCUCAAAAAAAAAAAAAGAAAAAGAUCAGAAAAGCUCUCUGCCCUCCCUCUAUUUGCCUAAAAACAGGACAAAAGUUUGUUAAGAUAUCCUCCCUCCCCUCUCUACCGCAAAGGACAGAAAUUAAUCACUGGAAACAAUGCUAGACCCUUAGCCUACAGGGCACCAGAGGAAUCGACAUAGUAAACCUCAUUAACUAGCCCUUAUCCUACAUUAGUUUUUCCCAUGUAUUUGCCUGUGCACAUUUUACUAGAAGCUCAAAGUCCUUUUCCUUUGUCUUGUCACUUUCUAAAACUUUAUUUUCUUUUUGUUAAGAUGCUCUUUAACCCCACUUUGUAACCAUCCCUUGGAGUUACUCAUCACUGGGUGCUCCCGUGGGUAUGUGCAAUGCCCACAUUAAUAAACUUCUGUUUGUUUCUCUCUUGUUAAUCUGCCUUUUGCCAAUCUAAUUUACAGGGCCCCAGCUGGAAAACCUAAGAUGGGUAGAGGAAAGAGACUUUUUUUCCUCUCCCCUAAGAAGUAAAGGUCAUAAACAACAAAACAAAAAGACUGAUAACAACUGUUACAGACCAUAAGAUACUAAGGAGAUAUGGCAGAUAAACAUAAUGUGAUACCCUGGAUUUUACAUUGGAACAGAAAAAGGACAUCAUGAAAAACCUGGUGAAAUCUGAAUGAAGUCUACAGUUCAGCUAAUAGCACUGUGUCAAUGUUAACUUCAUUUUUCCUAAAUGUAACACAGCUAGCAAGGCAAGAUGUUAACAAUGAGGGAAAACUGGAUGAAGGAUGUAUGGGACCUCUAUCCUAUUUUGCAACUUUUAUUCCAAAAUAAAAA
rnacentral:lncRNA from 10 species